rnacentral:rRNA from 1 species
AUGCAAGUCGAGGGGUAUAGUAGCAAUACUAGAGACCGGCGCACGGGUGCGUAACGCGUAUGCAAUCUACCUUAUACAGAGGGAUAGCCCAGAGAAAUUUGGAUUAAUACCUCAUAGCAUAGCAACUUCGCAUGAAGUCACUAUUAAAGUUCCAACGGUAUAAGAUGAGCAUGCGUCCUAUUAGCUAGAUGGUAAGGUAACGGCUUACCAUGGCUACGAUAGGUAGGGGUCCUGAGAGGGAGAUCCCCCACACUGGUACUGAGACACGGACCAGACUCCUACGGGAGGCAGCAGUGAGGAAUAUUGGACAAUGGGCGCAAGCCUGAUCCAGCCAUGCCGCGUGCAGGAAGACGCAUCUAUGGUGUGUAAACUGCUUUUGUACGGGAAGAAACACUCCCUCGUGAGGGAGCUUGACGGUACCGUAAGAAUAAGGAUCGGCUAACUCCGCGCCAGCAGCCGCGGUAAUACGGAGGAUCCAAGCGUUAUCCGGAAUCAUUGGGUUUAAAGGGUCCGUAGGCGGUUUGGUAAGUCAGUGGUGAAAGCCCAUCGCUUAACGAUGGAACGGCCAUUGAUACUGCCAGACUUGAAUUACUGGGAAGUAACUAGAAUAUGUAGUGUAGCGGUGAAAUGC